rnacentral:tRNA from 1 species
GGAGGGUAUAGCUCAGUGGUAGAGCGCAUGCUUAGCAUGCACGAGGUCCUGGGUUCAAUCCCCAGUACCUCCA